UACCAGGCCGCCACUCUCCUCUCCUCAACGCACCACUCCGCCGCUCCCCCGCUCGGGCGCGGCUCUCGUUUCCCGAACCUUCUAGAAGCUUGGUGCUCCUCCUGCUCACCUCCGCCGGCGACGCAGGGACACCAUCUUUGGGCAAUAUAUUGGCACUUCGAUUUUACGAGGCAUUAGGAAGUGAUUUAUUCUUCUCUUGAACAGACCAAAUUGGCCAUGCAUAUGUGGUAUCCAUGAUUGCUAGGGGAAUUAGAGUUAUGACGGGUUCAGACCAGCCUGUCGUUCUGCACAUGAAGACCUUAAUGGUGUUAAGAAAAAUUUAGUUCAAGGUGCGCUCCCUAUUAUCAAGUGGCACUGGUGGGGACAUAUUUACUCAGAAUGGACUGUUGUUUCUUGUGCACGUUCUGUUAUCACAUAUUCUUCUGGGAAAAAGAGUUUGUGCAUACGGUUUCCAAUGCAUCUUGGACACGCCAGCAACCAACUUUACUUGAACCUCAUGGAGCUAUCAUCAACAUGAGGAUGCUAUAUUAUCCCUGCGAAAAUCCCAGAUGCAGAAGCAGACAGGCUCAGAACGUUACUGUGAACACGUGCAUCGUCUGCAACCGGGAAAUUCCAGGUAUUUUUCUCAGAUCAUAUGACCCCUAACCGCUGUCACCCUCCCAAUCUCUUUUUCAUGAAGAUGGUCACGACUUUUGGUACUUACUGUGCAAAUACGACGUAUUGGAUCGUGCAUCCCUUUAAUUAAGCAUUGGCAAGUUUUUUGAAUGACGAAUUGACGACUGUCGUUAAAUCCCAAGAUGUACCUGGUAACAAUGUUUACCACUGUCUAAUGGUUGUUACUCGAUGGAAAGAUGGUAGAGAUUGGUGGGGUAAAUUAUGAGCAAGAUUAGGAAUCAACACGGUUAGGCUGGGACAGGGUACUCACGCUCAUCCCUAAACAGAACUUAUACUUGUUUGCUAAUUAAAUAGUACUAUUGCUGUGCCAUAUUCAACAUUCAAGCCUUGUUUAGAGCAUGGGAGUUCUCUCUUUUUUUUCCCCUGCUAGAAUUUAUUUCACUCAUAGUUGCACUAAAAGAUGUAGAACAGUAGAACUGUAGAAGAGAUCGUUGUUCCCCCGACUCUAGGCCCAUGGAGUGACAGUGCGUUGAUACUCGAUAGCAGAUAGGAUAGAGAGUUGCGUUGGGAUGUCAGUGUCAUCUAACCUUGUGUAGAGGUGACGGACCGGUACCAAUGAAGCUGUGAGUGCUGUGGUGCGUUGAUGCAUCCAUAAUUCAUCAAAACAUGAAAUAGACGGUGGUCAGGCCGUCAGCGAACUAUCAGUGACAACGUCAUCAAUGCCAACUAGAACCAUAUAUAUAACCCAAGCCUCUAUGGUAAGUAAAUUGCCUACGUAAGACAAUAAUAUCCGACGAUUAGUGAUAUCUGGGUUAUUUGUUCACAAUUGUUGACGACUAGUUGUAAUUCCUGUUGGCGGCAAGUAGCCCAAAACUGUUGGGAUAAUAAUGUGAUGGAUAUAAUAUCAUCCUCAACUUGAUACAAAAUAGUGGUGAUAGGCCACUAUUGUUAUUGCAACAAUGGUAACAGGGUAUUGACACUACCACGAGAAUAUUGUGCUGCUAAAAUAGCUAGAGAAUAAUAUGGGAUAAAAUAGAGAACGUCUCUCUAGUUUAUUCCUACUAGAGGUGAUAGUGACGCUAUUGCACUCGCAAUAGCAAUAGCGGGUUAUUGACACUACCAUGGAAAUAUUGUGUUGCUAAAAUAGCUAGAGAAUAAUGUGGGAUAGGAUAGAAAAUCUCUAAGUUUAUUCCUACUUGAGUACGGUUUUAUUUGUGUUGAAUUGGCAUGGGUCUGGCCUGUUAAGCCUGUUGGUCUGACCAGGCUUGGGCUUUUUAUGCUUACAUGUACCCGUGACAACCCCUUUUUUUUUAAAAAAAAAAGUGUGCACUGUAACUUCGAUUUUUUUAAGUUGGAACUAAGGUAUGGUUUUUUAUGACUUACUCUAAAAAAAAUUGAAUUUUUAUCAAGUUGAUUUGGUGCCAGCAUUUUACGUUAAUCGAUACAUAUGUAUUUCACUGGAUUCUUUAUAAAUAAUGAUGUGGUUCAUUGAAACGGUGUGCCAACAUAUAUACUCUAAUCGAGCACUUUGAGAAAACUUACACGUGUAUUAGAAACAUCUGACUAAUGAUUUAAGUAAAUCAUGUUAUAAUGAUUUAGAUUGGAGGUUCCUUUGAUUGAAGGAAAUUCAAAGAUUUUUCAAAGGAUUCUAAGCCUUAGGAAUUUUUCCUUUUGUUGUUUGAAAAAAAAGGGAUUUGAGCAUAUCAUACUCCUAUGAAUUGCUAUCCAUUGCACCAAUUCCAUAGGAAAUUUUUCCAUGAGUCCUUCUCGCUGCUUGGAGUCUGUUUUUAGCCGCCGUAAUUUCUCUAAGCUUCAGUUUUUUCUUCUUUUGCUUUUUCUUCCUUCCCCUAGCAUAAGACAGUCUAGCUGAUUACGUCGUGUAACUAAAACUCUUUUUCUUCUAAUAUAUUGACGUGCAAUCAUUUUACGCGUUUGCGAAAAAAAUUUUCCACGAAUCCAAACCUCUUUUUUAUUUUUCCUCUGAGAAGCCCAAUGGAUCUCUCUUAAUUCCAUCAAAUUUCUAUAUAUGAUUAAAAUUUUAAUAUUUCUGAUAUUAGUAACAAUAGUACGGACAAUAUGUACGGGGUUAACAAUUAGUAUGUGUAAUUCAAUAAAAUAAGAUAUGCACAUAUACUUUUGCUGAACUUUAAAUGUUAUCUUUUGUGGUUCUUUGUCUGCAUGCCCAAUAGUUCGUAGGCACUGUCGAGAGUUUAGAUUAUACUCCCUCCGUCUCAUAAUAUAAGGGAUUUUGAGUUUUU